GACGAACGCUGGCGGCGUGCUUAACACAUGCAAGUCGAGCGGAGCGGCGAACGGGUGAGUAACGCGUGAGUAACUGCCCCCCCCUCUGGGAUAACAGUUGGAAACGGCUGCUCAUACCGGAUAGUGGGGGAUGACUCGGGUCCAAUCAGCUUGUUGGUGGGGUAGUGGCCUACCAAGGGGACGACGGGUAGCCGGCCUGAGAGGGCGACCGGCCACAAUGGGCUGAGAUAGGGCCCAAAAGGCUACGGGAGGCAGCGGUGGAGAGUAUUGCACAAUGGGGGAAACCCUGAUGCAGCGACGCCGCGUGCGUGAUGACGGCCUUCGGGUUGUAAACCGCUUUCAGCCAUGACGCGGUAGUGGCAGAAGAAGCACCGGCUAACUACGUGCCAGCAGCCGCGGUAAUUC
rnacentral:rRNA from 1 species